rnacentral:pre_miRNA from 1 species
AGAGGGGUAGCUGGAUCAAAUGGUGGUUCCAUUCACAAUUUUCCAAGCAAUAUCCAUACUGCUUUACAGAUUGGCUCCACCAAUUUGCAGUUACACCAGCAGU